rnacentral:rRNA from 1 species
GACGAACGCUGGCGGCGGGCUUAACACAUGCAAGUCGAACGAGAAGCCAGGGCUUGCCCUGGUAGAAAGUGGCGCACGGGUGAGUAACGCGUAGGCAAUCUGCCCUCAGCUGGGGAAUAACCACGGGAAACCGUGGCUAAUACCACAUAACGUCGGAGAACCGCAUGGUCCUCCGAUCAAAGCUCAGGCGGCUGAGGAUGAGCCUGCGUCGGAUUAGCUAGUUGGUGAGGUAACAGCUCACCAAGGCAACGAUCCGUAGCGGGUCUGAGAGGAUGAUCCGCCACACUGGCACUGAGACACGGGCCAGACUCCUACGGGAGGCAGCAGUGAGGAAUAUUGCGCAAUGGAGGAAACUCUGACGCAGCCACGCCGCGUGCAGGAAGACACCCCUCAGGGGCGUAAACUGCUUUUGUACAAGAAGAACACCUGCUCUCGGGCAGGUCUGACGGUACUGUACGAAUAAGGACCGGCUAACUCCGUGCCAGCCGCCGCCGUAACAC